GCUCAGGAUGAACGCUAGCGGCAGGCCUAAUACAUGCAAGUCGAGGGGUAUAAGAGAGCUUGCUUUCUUAGAGACCGGCGCACGGGUGCGUAACGCGUAUGCAAUCUACCUUACUCAGGGGGAUAGCCCGAAGAAAUUCGGAUUAACACCGCAUAACAUAUAGUUUCGGCAUCGAAGUUAUAUCAAAUAUUUAUAGGAGUAAGAUGAGCAUGCGUGACAUUAGCUAGUUGGUAAGGUAACGGCUUACCAAGGCGACGAUGUCUAGGGGAUCUGAGAGGAUGACCCCCCACACUGGUACUGAGACACGGACCAGACUCCUACGGGAGGCAGCAGUAAGGAAUAUUGGUCAAUGGGCGCAAGCCUGAACCAGCCAUGCCGCGUGCAGGACGACGGCCCUACGGGUUGUAAACUGCUUUAGUCGGGGAAUAAACCUGCAUAUGUAUAUGCAGCUGAAUGUACCCGAAGAAUAAGGAUCGGCUAACUCCGUGCCAGCAGCCGCGGUAAUACGGAGGAUCCAAGCGUUAUCCGGAUUUAUUGGGUUUAAAGGGUGCGUAGGCGGCUUUUUAAGUCAGAGGUGAAAGACGGUAGCUCAACUAUCGCAGUGCCUUUGAUACUGAAGAGCUUGAAUGAAGUUGAGGUAGGCGGAAUGUGACAAGUAGCGGUGAAAUGCAUAGAUAUGUCACAGAACACCGAUUGCGAAGGCAGCUUACUAAGCUUUAAUUGACGCUGAUGCACGAAAGCGUGGGGAUCAAACAGGAUUAGAUACCCUGGUAGUCCACGCCCUAAACGAUGAACACUCGAUGUUGGCGAUACACAGUCAGCGUCUAAGCGAAAGCGUUAAGUGUUCCACCUGGGGAGUACGCCCGCAAGGGUGAAACUCAAAGGAAUUGAGCGGAAGGGCGAAUUCGCGGCC
rnacentral:rRNA from 1 species